GAGUGCAAAGGCAGAAGGGAGCUUGACUGCGAGACCUACAAGUCGAGCAGGGACGAAAGUCGGGCUUAGUGAUCCGGUGGUACCGCAUGGAAGGGCCAUCGCUCAACGGAUAAAAGCUACCCUGGGGAUAACAGGCUUAUCUCCCCCAAGAGUCCACAUCGACGGGGAGGUUUGGCACCUCGAUGUCGGCUCAUCGCAUCCUGGGGCUGAAGUAGGUCCCAAGGGUUGGGCUGUUCGCCCAUUAAAGCGGUACGCGAGCUGGGUUCAGAACGUCGUGAGACAGUUCGGUCCCUAUCUGUCGUGGGCGUAGGAAAUUUGAGAGGAGCUGUCCUUAGUACGAGAGGACCGGGAUGGACGUACCGCUGGUGUACCAGUUGUUCCGCCAGGAGCACCGCUGGGUAGCUAUGUACGGAAGGGAUAAGCGCUGAAAGCAUCUAAGCGUGAAGCCCCCCUCAAGAUGAGAUUUCCCAGUAUGUAAGACCCCUUGAAGACGACGAGGUAGAUAGGUUGGGGGUGGAAGUGCAGUAAUGCAUGGAGCUGACCAAUACUAAUCGGUCGAGGGCUUAUCCUAA
rnacentral:rRNA from 1 species